ACAGGAGACAUUUAUUAAAUGUUCAUGCAAGUGCGGAACUUUUAGGCAGGCAGGGAAGCAGCAAACAGUAAAGAACACAGCAAGUUCUUUUUCUUGACUUUGAAGAUGAUACACAUUUUUGUUCCUCCUCUGAGCAACUGAUUUGGGAGAAGGUGAGGCUUGUUAGCAACGGGGAUCCUCAGCCCCUUUCCAGAGCCAGUGAAUCCGAAUCCCCCAGGACUUGAUUUCCUACAAAGAAUGGAACUUGGCUUGUCUUAUUGAAACCAAUGUCUCAUAGAAGCAUCCAUUUACAUGUGACCACUCAGCUCCAUUUGUCUCUGAUCAUACCAUGUAGCCCUUAGCUGAUGUGAGCCACGGCACUCCAGCAUUUGAGAAAACUGCUGUUGCAUCAGCCUAGAUCCCUGGAUGACUACAAUGAGCAGAGCCCCCCAUCAAACCAUGAUGGUCAUGCGGAACGACUGAAAAAUAAACUUUUUGCUUUAAG